CGUUCGAUUCGCUAGCGGAUUUAUCGUCAAGGAAGCUACGUAUGUUUGUUCGAACACGGUAAACACUUUCCCGCACUUAUCCCAAGGAGGAGGAGCGGGCUAAAUAUAAGCGAGACAGAACGAGCAGCGAAUAGACGAGAUAGAACGAACCGAAAUACUGUGACUUUGGGUUUGGUAGAUUGGAAACAACGAUGACCUGUUCGCUGAAAUAUCCACGAGCGAGUCGAAGGAAAUUGUUAUUUUCACUAAUGGAAAAACUGCUUACGCGAUCCGAUUUAUGUUAUCGGCGAAAUCCUACGAGGCGCAAAAUUGUACGACACAGACUAUCGUGCAAUAAUGAGUAGGCAUGUUCGAUCGGACGAAGAAAAAUAAAGGCGAUACAAGGAAAAUAUUCUUCGCAGCAACAUUUUUAUUUUCAUCGAUGAACAUCGCAGUCAUCGCAUUACGUAUCGUAAUCCUAGACUUCGUCGUUGGGAAACAAUAUUCGUUUUGUAAAUUUAAACGAUCGAUACUUGGACGCGGUGCAAAGAAGAAGAAUGAAAAUCCUACCACGCGUUUGUAACAAUUUUCUUCCUAAAUCUGGUUGGUUUACCAAUCGAAAGAUCAUCAUAUCGAAUACCACGCAACCAGAAAGAACUGGUGUACGAAGAAUACGAGAAAUAACAGGAAAGUCGUCGAAGAAGAAUUCAGGAAGAAUUAGAACGACUUAAAGACGCUCUGUUGUAUUCCGCCUAAAUAAUUUCUCCAUGCAUCGAUCGUCUUAUUUUAAGAACGUACAGUAACAGCAGAAUUUUUCAAUUCUACGUACAGCUGAUAGUUCUUAGCGCCGAAACGACUCGACAGAUUCUUAAAGCUUCAUCGAUAUUUUCCCAACGGUACCAACGUCGUGCAAACUGCGCGUCGAGAUUUUUCGAAUAAAAUUUGAAUAUCUAAAUGGUUUGUAGCUGGUGGCGAUUGUAAGACGCGGGAACAUUUCAACUCGGAAAUGAAUUCGAUACGAGAACGUGUAAUCUUCGUGGUAAAUAAUCACGUGUUUGUAACCGUGUUCCAUUCGAUGAUGCGUGUUCACGCAUUGAAGCAAAAUUCCGAAUUGCUCGUGUCGAGAAAUUUAUGCUCCCCCAAUUACGUCAUUGUUAUAACGAGACGCUCCGUUAUCUAUGAUACGAAAAUACAAAGGAGCAAAGAUUUCCUAACAAUUCAUCAUCUUCGGUGACUCGUAUCGCUGUAGGUUUAGUACGGAUCACGAAAGUUUGUCACAUGUUCAUAUAUAUCGAAUUACACGAAUCAUCAGGUUCACUCACGUGACUGUUCGGUAAGAUGCGUUGUUAAGCUUCAUUCGGCGGAAUGUGCAACCAUAUACAUGUACACAUGUAUACAUACAUAUAGGCGGAAAUUGAUAAAAACUCUGACGAUAAGUGCAAAUCGAGCAUAGGAAGUGAAAUCGGAAGAGACGUUUCACUGAAACAAAAGAGACGCGUAGCAAGCAGUAGGCAAAUGCGACAAAGAAGAAGAAAAAGAAGAAGAAGAAGGAGAAGAUGGGAAAAAUCGAUAGGAGCUUCAAAACGACUGCGUCGAGGAACGGAAUCGAAAGAUGCUUCGACGAUCGAAACGAAAGAGCCAGAUGAAGGGUGACGGACGAUUACCAAGACACAAGAAUAAGGAAAAAGAGGAGAAAAUGUAAAAAGCAAGGAGAACUUGGAAACGGGUAUAGAUAUAGAGAUCGGGACCGAAGUUUUCCAUAGUCGCGAUAAAAGAGACGGUCGGAAGGUAAUGAAGGAGUGUAAAGACCAACGACAGGAAGAAAAAGAAGCGGAAAAGCGAGCAAAAGCUUCGAAGGGAGUAUAGCGAUGGAAAAUGAAAAUUAAAAGAAACGAGAUAUCGUCAAAUCAAAGGGUAGAGAAAAGAAGAAUGCGAGGGUAGAAGAGAAUCAUUGAACGAUAAAAAGGAGAAAAACAGGGUCUCGUGCGAUGGAAAAGCGAGCGUGUUCGCGCCUAUAUUCGCGGGGAACACUGAGCGCACGCGAGCGGUGCCUCUGUGCUCGAUGACGCAGUGGCCUUGCACGAUAAAAGACACGUUGUGACACACAGGCCUUUACGGUAAUUUAGCUCGAUUUACUUUUUCGAGUUACGCGUGUCGCGAGAGAACGGCUACCGUGCAACCGGAGACCUGGCAUGCUCCACGCUAUCCCUUGCACGAGACCGUUUAGAAGUUCUCUACCUUCCUCCCACUGUCCUCCACCUCUCGCUCUCGCCCUCUCUUUCUCUCUCUCUCUUAUCUACCUCUUUCAUUCGCGGAAGUUUUACCGCAGCUUUACGAACAAAUUGAGCUAUUUAGCCUAAUUCCUCAAACGCGUUGAAAUCUAUAUUUUCGAACGCUGAGUUUGCGAACGUGAAAACUUUGAAACGAGCGUAUCCGGUGCAUCGAGGAACCUGAAGCUCUGCUUUAAGAAAAUGAUGAAACUUUUUGAACAAACGAAAACGAAAUCGCGCGAUAUCUCGUGAUUCUCGGAUGACCGAAACGAGAUCCGUUUGAAAAUAAUUCCUAUUUACGGUGAAAAACCAGCCACUUAAAGUACCAAAAAUUACCGAUCGAUCUUUUUCAAAAAAAAAAAAAAAAAAACGAUCGAUCAAACCUAAUUGUAUAAAGUACCUCCCGUCCAACCUACAUCGAACAAUAUGUAAAAAAAGCGCUAUUGAUUUCCGUCCAUUCAAGCGUCCAUUCAACGUCGAAUAGAACGAUCGCGAUACCUGCUUGAAUAACGCAAACACGUGGUUUACUAUCGAGCAAUGAGUCGAACGGUAUCAAGCAGGAUCGUCAAUGAACGUGUCACGUAUCUUAUCCAUAUACGGUAUUUUACGCUAUUUCACGGCAUUUUACGGCUGGUGAAUUGGGUUCGUGUCCAAGAUAAGGCACGACCGCGGUAGGAAAACGUCGAGGACGAAGAAAAAUCGAGUUAACCGGUAUAAAAGGCUAAAAUACAGUUACCUAUCGAAACUAUGCAACGUUUCUUAUCGACGAAAUACACUGUUUAAACACAUCCAGGUACUUGCUUAUUAGUCACAGUAUUAGAUAUUAUCAUAGUUGAAACAUUUACUAUUACAAAGUGUGCGCAAGGCUAUGAAUAAUAAUAUAUGUUCGUUAAUGAGGUCAAUUAAAAUUAGCAUAGGGUAAUUGCAAUGUAAACACAGUCGUGAUUUAAAAUCGUUAAAUUGCGCUAUAAUGGAAAAAUGGUCAGAUCUAAUCUUCGUUUAGACGAUCUCCAUGGAAUGCAAUUUUGACGAGGCACAGAAUUGCCAGCGCAUUUCGGUAUAUUAUCGCGAGUAGUCGUCUCGAAGCGCGUAACGACGACGAGGUCGCAACACGUGAAACUCUCUCGAAAUAAUGUUGUUCAUAGGUUGCAGCGACAACAAUGACGUCAUUGCGGGCAGAACCGUGGACGUAACGCACUGGUCGAAGUCUAAGGGCUUCGUGAGAUAAGCAUUUCGACUCGACAUUGUUCUUUCGACUUCUGAAUCCGCGUUUUUUUUUUUCUCGAGUUUCUUAUUUACGUACGCGAUGAUGUUUCACAGUUUUGUUUUUUUAUUUUACUAGUAGAGUAACAAAACAUCUAAAUGACUUUCAAAUCUCGCGUUAUUUUUCCUCCUAUUGACGUAAAAUCAUGCUAGUAAGCUAAAUAUGUAGAUUACACGUAUUAUGUUGAGUAAUAGUCGAUUCACGAUUUCUUAAGCUAAAGGAACACGUAAUAAGAUUAUUAUUACUUUCGUACGAAAUCUAUCCAAUCAAGAAGUACAAAUAAAUACAUUUAUUUAUCCCACUUCUCUAUACUUUUAAACCUUUCGCGAGGAAAAUAUCGGAUACACAUAUUUUUACGAUCUUUCGACGAUCUUUUUCACGUCUCUCGAAAAUCAUGCACCAGCGAGAAACGAUCCAGCUUGUUACUUAAAUCUGAUCUUCAAAUUUUAGAAUAAAUUCCGACAGAUGUUUCUUACUUCGAAAAAACUAAGAAACUUCCCCCAAAAAUUUUUGGAUAUUUUUAGACCAAAUAGGAGAGAUUUUCGGGCGUAUCAGAGAUACUUUACAAUGCCGAGCAAAUUAUUGGUCGAGUACAUCGAUAAGAUACAAUAGGAUUUAUCAGCCAUUCUUAGACACUCACACAACGGAAGGACAAGAGGCGUGUCAGAAUUAUUCCACCGAUAUAUCUGAUACGACUGCCGUCCCAGAAGCCUAUCUCGCUUUCGAUAAAAUAACCUUUGGAUUUAAACGAAGAAAAAAGAAAUAGGCGAAAAAAAAUAACAUAUAUAUAUAUAUAUGUAUCUUAUUGAGCCGCUAAAGAUUCAAGAAAACGGCGUUGCUUUUCUUCUCUUUUCCUUCAUUUUAUUCUCAUUCUUUGACACGGUGAACGUGUACGCGUAAUUUACGAGCGUGUUGUUCAGGACGAACGUUUACGUUGCGUCAUUAUGACAAUAAUAUCACCGUUCUUCCACUGAUAAAGAUAUAUACGUCUUUUCACUUCGCGCGUCCAAUUGCAGUUCCGA